rnacentral:rRNA from 1 species
UACAGAGUGUGCGAGCGUUAAUCGGAAUUACUGGGCGUAAAGCGUGCGCAGGCGGUUUUGUAAGCCAGAUGUGAAAUCCCCGGGCUCAACCUGGGAAUGGCAUUUGGGACUGCAAGGCUGGAGUACGGCAGAGGAGACUGGAAUUCCUGGUGUAGCAGUGAAAUGCGUAGAUAUCAGGAGGAAUACCGAUGGCGAAGGCAGGUCUCUGGGCUGAUACUGACGCUCAUGCACGAAAGCGUGGGGAGCAAACAGG